CCAAAGAAAUUAAUUGAAAUGUCAUUUCCAAAGCACCAACCGUUCCAUCAACAGCAGCCUCCAAGGCAUUAAAUCAUCACUUUGCUGUCCAUCAUACUUUCUUCUUCUUUGUAUCAAUUUCAAUCUGGGUUUCUUGGCCAGAUUUCAACCGAAGCAAAAGUGUGGCCAUCCAGUUCUUCUCCCCUCAGAUAAGUAGUCUCUCCUUUUCCAAGCGCAUUUUUUGCUAGUCUAUGGGCACAAAAAUUCUUGGAUCUAUGAAUAUGCUGAAAAAUGAGUUCUUGAAAGUCAGAUUUCUUGCUCUGAAUGUCUCUAAUAAUGGAUCCGAUUCCUGAUUUGUCUGUGGUAGUCUCCUGACAUUUCCUUAUAACUGUUCUUGAGUCCCCCAUAAGUUUUACUGAGUGGUAUCUUAGUGAAAUCCCUAAUUUUGUACCAUCUAAACACGCAUAUGCUUCUGCCGCAAAAGAAGAAGGAACAUUGCUAUGAAUAACCGUCUUUAAUACUGUUAAGUUUCCCCUCAGGUCCCAUCCUACCAGGCCAGAAGCUGAUCGAAAAGUUUUGUCGUCGUAUGCCGCAUCAAAAAGGAUCCUGACUCUCGGUAUGUCCUCCUGAACUCCAUAGCUCCUGCAUAUAUUCUCAUUAUUCUUUAAAACUUUUAAACCUUCCUGUUCUGCCAUGUAUUUUUGGAUAUUACAAACUAAAGCCCUUCCUGUUGUGUUUUUCCCCUCAUGAAUAUAUUGAUUUCUGGAGAACCAUAUCCACCACAACGUAAAACAGAAAAGACGACAAUGGCCAUUAUUACCCCUCUUGAAGACCCAGUUGCUAUAGGACAAUCGCGAAAUACAUGGAGGCUUCCUUCCACUUCAGAUCUGCAACGGGGAUAACUGUCAUUUGUAACAAUUCUCCGGAAUCUGAGAUUAGCAAAGUUUGGAAUAAAAUCCCAAGAGAAACGCCAUAUUGUAAAUGCAAUCUUUGACGGCAACUGUAGAUUCCAUAGUUUCUUGUAAAAAUCUUUAGUUUUGGUCUGUAAUAAAUAGCUUCUAGGAUCUAGAUUAACAUCUUGUAAUAGUUUAUAGGCACUGCGGACCGAAAACUCACCCGAUAAUUCUCCUUUCCAAACCUGGAAAUCUUCAUGCUCGGUCUCUGCGAGAGGAAUCUGAAGGAUUUUCUGAGCAAUGUUCUCUUGAAAGCAAUCUUUCCAUAUCGAGAUUUUGUCCCCUCUGCCCACUCUCCAACACAUUCCUUUUUGUAGAAGACACCUGGCAGCCCAGAUACUUUUCCAGGUAAAAGAAGGGAAAUAGAAUCAGAGAUAGCGCUUCACAUCAACCAAUUAAUAGAGUGGAGGUAUCCUUGACACUCCGAAGAGAAUCAAGCAAAAAUAAAAGAAAAAACCCCAGAAACGAACAAAAACCCUAAAAAUCGUGCCAGCGGCGGCAGACAGAACCGUGCUAAAAUAGCAAACUAUUAAUAUAUAAAUAGUAAAAAGUAUAGUUAACAUAA